UCGCAACCUUAUGGUUCCUAGUUGGAUUCAUUUCCGCUGAGCCACAAUGGGAACUCCUAUGGUCUUGUUCUUAACAAAAUAAAUAUGUUAAACUUACCACUUUAGCUGCAUAGUCUCUUUGAUCCCUUGACUACUUUAAAGAUGUCACUUGACUUUUGUCUCCUAAAGUUGUAUUGCAUAUGGUCUAACAAGUUUUUCUAAAAAGAAAGAGACCAUUUUAACUCUACAGCAGACUCCAUGGUAAUUAUCAGCUCCCCAGGAUUAGUUGAGCAUUUAUAACAUGACUUUGACACUGUAACUUGACUUUACAAUUGAAGAGACUGCCAGGUUUGAGCAUAGGCUGUGCCUGUCACUUACCAACUAUGGGACAGUGGGCCAAGGACUUGCUUCCUCAGACCCCUCAUGAGGAAGUCCCUACUGCAUGAGUUUGUUUUGAAUGUUCAACUAGCUAAUAUUUGCAAAGGGUGCCCUGUAGGUGCCAUUAAGUUAAAAAAAAAAAAAAGAUAAAGAUUCUUUUUUAGCCUACAUCUUUAGAUGGGAGAGAAGCUUCUUUUAAGGCUCUAUGGUAAGAAUCCCAUUGAAGGUUUAAAGCUUUGGUUUUGAUUUCUCAUGCACGCAAAUGUAUUUCUAAAAGAAGAGACUAUUUCUCUAUACAUUAAUCAAGUUAAAACCACAGAUUGUUUAUAAAUGUUCAUGCUGAUUAAUUUGGUGUUACCAUUGCAAGUCCAAACUGGGAAACACAAAGAAGUGAAAGGCUGGCAUUUAUAAAGAUAUGCAAAUGAGACAAAUGGGUAGGCUGGAUAUGCAACUGUCUCCCUAAUGGUGAAAUUUUUAAUCUGUUUGGGAUUUUUUUUUUUUUUUUUUUGUAAAUUACAGUCUAAAUGAAGGAGUCAAAAAUAUAGCUUUGAAUUCGUGUGCAUAGGUAGCCUUACAUGAAGGAUGGCACACAUACUAGAUUGUGAAAUCUCAGGGAACGUGAGACAGCAGAGGCAAAGGGUCUCCUGCCCCUGGAAGUGUCUUCACAGGAUGGGAUUUCCUUUCUGAAAAGCAAUCCUCACAGUCCCCCGACUAUUAGAGAAGAAUUACAACUUUAAAAUCCACAGCUCUGCUGUUCAUUUGAAUUAUUUAAAUAAGCAAGGCUCUUCCUUCUUAAAUUAGGAUCAUAGUGAAAUAUGCUUUUUUGGGACUUCUGAGUAUUCUCAGUUAAUUUAGGUAGACUUGAACAGAAUGAAAAGCUAUAAAACACAAGCUUGUUUUUAAAGUUGGGUCUCUUCCCUCCUACUGUGGAGAAGGUUUUUUUCCUCCCCUUUAAUACACGGGCUUAUUUCCAUUUUUAUGAUAUUUAAUUUUUAUAUAUCAUGAUAAUUACUGUUUUGAUCAAUUGAACACCCCCCCAAACACACACACACACGCACAAAUACACACUAUUCGUAGGGAAUAUGAGAAGACAUCUGUUGUCAAAAAAAGAAAGAAAUAGUUCCAGUUUGUAAUGAUUAUGAAUUUUUCAUAGAUUUGAUUUAAUUGUCUAAUUCUAUUUGGAAAUUUUAAUUUAUGUGAUUAUUUCCCUACCCUCUUUUCAUUAACUACCAAAAAAUGAAUACAUAAAAAGUAGGUGUUUUGAACAAAACCAAGAGACUUGAUUUAACGAAGCCAAAGGCUUGAUUUAAAGAGUGUGAUAUGAUUUUCACCCUGGCUAGAUAUUAUUUAAGGUUUUCAUCUGAUCUGCUUUUUCCUUUUUAGCAGCAAGGCAAUGUAUUACCUCAAAAAUGACUGCUGGAUCUACUCAAAUAUUCGUUCUGUAAGGAAAUUGAAGAAUCAUCAUUUACUGAUCUGUUUGAUGAUUUUCCAAAAAGAUGAGAGCAAACACAUAGAAUAAUGGUUUAUUUUUGAUAAAAGUCUCCUCAAAGCCUUGCAACCUAACCAGAAAUGUUGGAUAAACCAAUAUGAGGUGUGAAAUUUUUAAAUGUAUUCUGUAGUAUCCUAGCUUGUAUUUUUGUGAUUCUUUAGUUCUAAGAUUGUUAGAUAUAAGCUUUACCCAUUUUAUAGAUGGCAAAAGUGAACAGCUUGUCCAGACAAAAUUCAGAAUCUCACUUGAACUCAGUCUGUUGUAUCACCCCUUGUUACUUGGUCUAGUCUGUCAAGUCAGUAAAGAAAUGUCACUUAAAAGAUAGGAGCGGCCAAUGUUGCAACCACAGGGCAACAGGAAAAAUUGAGAAAUGAAGAUUCAAGGGACAACCGUAUAGUAGCCAAGGUGAGGGCAGUAUGCUGGGGAAAGAGUAAGGUGAGAGAGAACAGGAAACCAUGCUGAAAUUACAUUUCUUCUCAUUCUCAAAUAUAGGACAGAGUUUACAGAUUUAAGGAUUUUUAAUAAUAUAACAUUCUUGGAAAAAGCCAGUGCCUAUUGUUCUUUGUAAAUCCUUCACCAUUUGUGUUGUGAUUGCACUGACAGUGGAAAAAACACAUCAGUGCCUUGUUAACAUGGAUGUGCCCUGUGUAAAUCCUGAACUCAAAUAACAAAGAGGAGGCCAUACCUUUUAGCUUUUAAGAAAGAAAAAAAAAAAAAAAACUUGCUUUCAGUGGUAAUUUUAACUUGUAUCUUAGGCUUUUAAAUGGAAAGAAAGGAAGGGUCGUGUUGUCAGAGAUAAUCUUAAUUACAAGUCAUUGCAGAAGGAAUUCAUUUGAUUGAAAAUGGUACCCAAAAAAGUUUCCACCCCAGGAAUUUCCAGACACUAACUUACUCAACCUUGUGUGAUCCUUGGGCCUCUACCGUUAUAACUGGUGAUGCCGUCUGCAUCCCCAACAACUUAUUUUCAGGUAGCCGUUGGCAGCUAGCUUCCUGAGGAGAGGCGCCUGUCCUCCUCUGCAGUGUGAACUGGCCACAUUUGAGUCUGACGGAGGACCCAAGCCCAGGAGAGCUCAAAGCUCCAGGGUCUAACCAGGGUCACUAGCAGAGCACACAGCUCAGGGAGUGCCUCCAGGCAGCCAUGUUUUUCUGAAUUUUUAGCCAAACAUUUCACCUUGCAAAGUGUGACAGGAUUGCUGUCACAAGUAGUUUGACAAGUUUAGGAACUUCUUUGUCAGUAUCCCUAGUAUCUUUUAACCUAGGACACAGCAAGUGAUAGACUGACUCAUCCAAAAGGAAGUAACCUCUCUGCCCCACUGAUUGCUUUCCCUUCCCCUAGCCUCUUUUCAGCAGGGAGGAAGGGCCUCAGGAUCUUUGCAGAGAAGAUCCGGGAUUUUCAAAGACACAGGCAGAAGCGGGUUGGGUGGGUGAGGCUGCGAUGGGAAGGAGGGGAGAGAGAAGGAGACCAUGAUAGAAACCGGACCUGAAAUAGGCUUAUAAAAUAAAUUGCCCUGAUGCGACAAUUCGUUAUCAUCGGUUUGCUUGUUAAUAAUCAGAGAUUUCCUUCAUUUAUCAAUCUGAGGCCUUAUUUAACCUCAGACUAGUGGCAAACAAAGUCAUGUGCUGAACAUGAAGAUUCCUGGUCAGGAGCCCACCCCCCCGGGGGUGGGGGGUUCACCAGGGGUAUUUGCCCUGUGUUUUCCAGGAAACGCUGAGGGUGAGUGUAUUUUAUUAGUCUUAAAUUCAUUUUAUAUUUCUUGCCUGCUAGCUUUCCGGUACGCCAAAGAAUUUGGAAAUAAUCAUUUAUUCAUACUAAUACAUCUUGUUUUUUUUUUAAUUAGAAAUAAAACUUUUGUGACUGAAUAUUGUAAGCUAUUUACUAUCAGUCUAUGAAACAGCAUUUUUUCAUUUGCUACACAAGUCUUUACAUAUACUUCAAGUAAUAGAUUACUCUCCCUUUGAAUUUUAGAACAUUUGAAAAAAAAAAAAAAAAGAAGAAGAAGCGGGAAAGCACUCAGCGUCACCACUAUAACAUAUGUGACUUUGGCCGAGAGUACCAGGGUGGGCCUCCCGUCCACCUGCCCACCACCACCAUUAUUUGAAACAGUAAACCUGAGACCGUUAAGUUUUAUGUCACCUGCCAGCCCUUGUGAUACCAAAGAGCCUAUCAACUGGAAUACACCAGCGGGCUUGGUGGAGUCAGCUAUUUAUAGCUCCAGGUGUUUUUAGAAGUAAGCAGAAGUUAACUGUCGAGUCCCAGUUGUACUUAUCUGAUCUUUCUGUGUUUUCUAGAAAGCCUCCAAGAGGUUCCCUAAGCCAAUCUGAAAUAGCUCUUAAAGGAACUGGAUUAGCAUUUGAAUUUUAAUACUUCUGCCCAAGUACUUUUUUGCAUAGGCUGUGAGUGAUCUGUGGAGCUGCCAAUUUUGCUUUAUUAAUUUUUAUUCCUCUUCUAUAUCCCUGAAAAAACAAAAGGGCACAAGUACAUCUUUUGAAAAACCUUCUGUGGUUUUGUCUCCUGAUUGCGAUCUGAUAAGGAGGAAACUGUCCCGAAUCUGACUUUCUUUUCCUCCAAACCUCUGAAUGGUGAAAGUCCAGUGCAUCUUUGUCUUGCUGAAGUCAAUUUAGAGAUCUAAUCACAAAUUUUAUACCUUGAUUUUUAAAGACAGUUCUCUUAGCCUGCAUUUUGACCUUAGCAGUUCUAUAUUGGAUAUAUCAUUAUCUAAUCCAAAGCAGAGCAUUCUAGAUGACUAUUUUGAGAAAAGAUUUUUAUUAUUUCCUGACUUUCUCUAUUGAUAAUAAUGAAAAUUUUUCUAACACUUCUCAUCUUUCUCUGCUUUGCUCUCUCGUGUGUUUAUUGCAAUACCGUUUAUUUUCUUCUACAAGCCUUGUUUUGUGCUCUCUUCCGGUCACAAAAUCAGUAGCAAAGAGAUGGUGCAGCAUUGUGGACUGCAGAAAAACUUGGGCUGUGAAGCGUGGCGCCUGGGAGCUGUAUUUAAUUCACAAAGUAGCCUUGAGCAAGUUACUUAAAUUCUUUGCGUUUCUUCAUCUGUGAGUUAGGAACAACAAAAAUGUACAUGAAAAUGAAAAAUAGAGAACUAUGGUCAUCAUCUCUCACCCGAGUGGGACAUUUGUUACAAGUAAUGAACCUUCAUUGAUAACAUCUCUAGAGGAAGCUGUACAUGUGUAGGGACCUCACUGAUGAGUUGAUUCCAGUUUAGCAAUUUUUCAGUAGGUAACAGUGUGUGAUGAUGUGAUACACAAUAUAACUAUGUGUGUGCUUGUCAAAGGAACUGGUUCUUUCACUCAUUCAUUCAUUCAACAAAUAUUUAUUGAGCACCUACAAUCAACCAAGCAUGGUGUUCAGCACUUAGGGGUAUAGCUACAGAUCUAAGAAACAAAAUCUCUAAUCUCAUAAAAUUUAGAAUCUUGUGAGCUUUCAUUUAGGUUAUUUAUUUCCCUUAAAAAUUUUAAGGCAUCAGCUUCUCAAGGUAGGAUCUCUUGCUCUGAAAUAGUGCUAUAUGUAUGUACCAUUCUUAAACUUCCCUCUGCCCUAUGUACUGUUUAGUCACAGAGAAUUGUUUUAUUAUGAUGAUUCUGGUAUGUUAAUGAAGAGGUACUCAUUUGCAAAUAACUCUUUAAUCUGUAAUUAAAAUCUGGCAGCUCUCUUAAAAAUAAAGACAGUUAAAAUGCAUAGUCACUGGCUUGCUGUAUUAAAUAUGCAAUUGCAAAACAUUAAGAAAGGCAUAUCCUAUUUAUCACUUUUAAUGAAUCUUUCACCCUAGCCCCACUGUAAGCCCUGGAUGGUAUUCCUACCAUCCCACCCAUAUGCUUCUAAGAGCAUUAACUGUUCAUGGAUCUGUGCACGCCCUGGUAUAAAAUCAAAAUCUCUAGGGUGCUUUUGAUCACAUAUAAGCAAGCUUUAAAAAAGAAAAAAAAAAAAAAAAAACCCAUUCUCAUUAAGGCGAUAGGCCCGUGACCAUAUCCUGAUGUUUGCUUAGCAAUCUGAAAUUCAUGUAUGCAAGAGGAAUUUUUUUUAUCCUUUUGAAAGAAGAAUGAUAAAUAUUUAUAUAGCCUUAACUCUUUCAGACAGUCACAGGAUCAUCUUUUAGGAAUGACAAGAAGCUGCUCAGGGGUUUUGUUGUUGUUAUUGUUGUUGUUUAGCAUAAUUCAACUUUCCAGUAGCUACUGAAAAGAUGAAUUGUAGAUGUAUCAUUAUUGGAAAGUAAUCCUCCUUUCUCCCCAUUAAGUGCACUUUGUCUUACUUCUCUGAAAUCCCUUUGAGUCAUGGCUUUGAAAAGGGAGCACCAGAGUUAUUUGCUUUGGGGGCCCACAGGCCCAGCAAGACAGCUGCCCUGGUUGGUCCUUAAGACUGGAGUCCUAAUUCCUCCUGCAGCUCUGUUCUGUUAGCAGUCUAGCAACAGUCUAUUUGCUGAAUAGUCCUGCACCCAUACAGUGUUCUUUCUGGAACUUAUUCCUGUUCUCAAUCAAUAAUUGGGUAGAACUCCAAGAUAGCUUUCUACUUAAAAUUAAAUUUUUCUCCUGACUCCUUGAAUCAAGAUAUCCAGUAGUAAUGUUGAACUCAUGAAUGUUUCAGCUCACAGAACUAUCUCCUGUAAAAAAAAAAAAAAAAAAAAAA